GUCCUACGGGGGGCAGCAGUGGGGAAUAUUGCACAAUGGGGGAAACCCUGAUGCAGCGACGCCGCGUGAGCGAUGAAGUAUUUCGGUAUGUAAAGCUCUAUCAGCAGGGAAGAAGAUGACGGUACCUGACUAAGAAGCCCCGGCUAACUACGUGCCAGCAGCCGCGGUAAUACGUAGGGGGCAAGCGUUAUCCGGAUUCACUGGGUGUAAAGGGAGCGUAGACGGCGACGCAAGUCUGGAGUGAAAGCCCGGGGCCCAACCCCGGGACUGCUCUGGAAACUGCGUCGCUGG
rnacentral:rRNA from 1 species